rnacentral:rRNA from 2 species
UACGGGGGGGGCAAGCGUUGUUCGGAAUUACUGGGCGUAAAGGGCGCGUAGGCGGUCUGCUAAGUUGGAUGUGAAAACUCUGGGCUUAACCCAGAGCCUGCAUUCAAUACUGACAGGCUAGAGUUCUGGAGGGGAUAGCGGAAUUCCUGGUGUAGCGGUGAAAUGCGUAGAUAUCCGGAGGAACACCGGUGGCGAAGGCGGCUUCCUGGACCGACACUGACGCUGAGGCGCGAAAGCUAGGGGAGCAAACGGG